AAACCCUUACCGAAAGCAAUUGGAGGGCAAGUCUGGUGCCAGCAGCCGCGGUAAUUCCAGCUCCAAUAGCGUAUAUUAAAGUUGUUGCAGUUAAAAAGCUCGUAGUUGAAGUUCUGGCUGCUUGACCCUCGAGCUCUGUAGCCGAGGGCUCAGCAGUCAUCCGCUUGCAAAUAUAUGUUCGCCUUUAACCGGGCGGCUAUAUGAGUAAGCAUUUUACCUUGAGAAAAACAGAGUGUUCCAGGCAGGUUUGUCCGGAAUGCAUUAGCAUGGAAUAAUAGAAUAUGACUGAAGUCGAUUUAUUGGUUUGAGGCUUUAGUAAUGAUUAAUAGGAACAGUCGGGGGCAUUGGUACUUGUCAGUCAGAGGUGAAAUUCUAGGAUUUGACAAAGACUAACAAAUGCGAAAGCAUUUGCCAAGGAUGUUUUCAUUAAUCAAGAACGAAAGUUAGGGGAUCAAAGACGAUCAGAUACCGUCCUAGUCUUAACUAUAAACUAUACCGACUCGGAUUCAGAUGAAUCAUAAAGUUCAUUUGGGACCGUAGGAGAAAUCAAAGUUUUUGGGUUCUGGGGGAAGUAUGGUCGCAAGGCUGAAACUUAAAGGAAUUGACGGUUUUGCACCACCAUGGAGUGGAGUCUACGGCUUAAUUUGACCCAACACUGGGAAACUCAUCAGGGCAAGAAGAUUGUAGGAUUGACAGAUUGAGAGUUCUUUCUUGAUUGGUCUAGUGGUGGUGCAUGGCCGUUCUUAGUUGGUGGAGUGAUUUGUCUGGUUAAUUCCGUUAACGAACGAGACCUUAACCUGCUAACUAGUACACCGAUGACAAAUCGGUGAUACUUCUUAGAGGGACUAUGUGAUGUAAUCACAUGGAAGUUUGAGGCAAUAACAGGUCUGUGAUGCCCUUAGAUGUCCUGAGCUGCACGCGUACUACAAUGGUGCCUUCAUCGAGCUUUUCCUGAUCCGAAAGGAUUUGGGUAAUCUUUUUAGUGAGCACCGUGCUUGGGAUAGAUCUUUGUAAUUAUGGAUCUUGAACUAGGAAUUCCUAGUAAGCACGUGUCAUCAGCACGUGCUGAUUACGUCCCUGCAAAAUGUACACACCGCCCGUCGCUAUUACCGAUUGAGUGUAAAGGUGAACCUUCUCGAUAGGCGCAAGCUUAGAAAUUAAGUAAACCUUUGCACUUAGAGGAAAUAAAAGUCGUAACAAGGUUUCCGUAGGUGAACCUGCGGAAG
rnacentral:rRNA from 1 species